ACUAUUUUGGCAGAUUAGUGCGUUAAAUUUAGAAUUUAUUUAUGUAAUUGGAGAUUACAGAUAGUA
rnacentral:tRNA from 1 species